GACGAACGCUGGCGGCGUGCUUAACACAUGCCAGUCGAACGGAAAGGCCCCUUUGGGGGUACUCGAGUGGCGAACGGGUGAGUAACACGUGAGUAACCUGCCCUUGACUUCGGGAUAACUUCAGGAAACUGGGGCUAUACCGGAUAGGAAUCCUUGCUGCAUGGUGGGGGUUGGAAAGCUUCGGCGGUUUUGGAUGGACUCGCGGCUUAUCAGCUUGUUGGUGGGGUAGUGGCUUACCAAGGCUUUGACGGGUAGCCGGCCUGAGAGGGCGACCGGCCACAUUGGGACUGAGAUACGGCCCAGACUCCUACGGGAGGCAGCAGUGGGGAAUAUUGCACAAUGGGCGGAAGCCUGAUGCAGCAACGCCGCGUGCGGGAUGACGGCCUUCGGGUUGUAAACCGCUUUCAGCAGGGGCGAAGCUUGUGGUGACGGUACCUGCAGAAGAAGCACCGGCUAACUACGUG
rnacentral:rRNA from 1 species